GUGCUUGUCACAUUAAUAACUGUAGUCAGUACUGUGUGUGUAUACAGGUUUAGCAUGAAGAGUAUGUAUAGGGAUGAGAGUGCUUGUCACAUUAAUAACUGUAGUCAGUACUGUGUGUGUAUACAGGUUUAGCAUGAAGAGUAUGUAUAGGGAUGAUAGUGCUUGUCACA